GUAGGGAAUAUUGGGCAAUGGAGGCAACUCUGACCCAGCCAUGCCGCGUGUAGGAUGACGGCCCUCUGGGUUGUAAACUGCUUUUAUACGGGAAGAAAAAAUACUACGUGUAGUAUACUGACGGUACCGUAAGAAUAAGGAUCGGCUAACUCCGUGCCAGCAGCCGCGGUAAUACGGAGGAUCCAAGCGUUGUCCGGAUUUAUUGGGUUUAAAGGGUGCGUAGGCGGAUCUUUAAGUCAGUGGUGAAAGCCUGCAGCUUAACUGUAGAAUUGCCAUUGAAACUGAAGAUCUUGAAUGUGGUUAAAGUAGGCGGAAUGUAUCAUGUAGCGGUGAAAUGCUUAGAUAUGAUACAGAACACCGAUAGCGAAGGCAGCUUGCUGAACCAUUAUUGACGCUGAGGCACGAAAGCGUGGGGAGCGAACAGGAUUAGAAACCCCUGUAGUCC
rnacentral:rRNA from 1 species